rnacentral:tRNA from 1 species
AGGAUAAUAGUUAAAUUAACAUUUAAGUUGCAUUUAAAAAAUACUGUAGUUCAGUUUAUCUU